UACGAAGGGGGCUAGCGUUGCUCGGAAUCACUGGGCGUAAAGGGCGCGUAGGCGGAUCUUUAAGUCGGGGGUGAAAGCCUGUGGCUCAACCACAGAAUUGCCUUCGAUACUGGGGAUCUCGAGACCGGAAGAGGUGAGUGGAACUGCGAGUGUAGAGGUGAAAUUCGUAGAUAUUCGCAAGAACACCAGUGGCGAAGGCGGCUCAC
rnacentral:rRNA from 1 species